rnacentral:tRNA from 1 species
GCCCCUGUGGUGGAAUGGUAGACGCGGCGGAUUCAAAAUCCGCUUCCGCAAGGAGUGCUGGUUCGAGUCCGGCCAGGGGCA